rnacentral:rRNA from 1 species
GAUGUACCACCUUGAGAUGCCGAUUCUCUGAAGCAAAACAGAGCUGGGUCUGGUUAGUGCUUGGAUGGGAGACCGUUGGGAAUACCAGGUAAGACAGCA